rnacentral:Y_RNA from 1 species
GGCUGGUCCAAGUAUAGUGGAAGUUACAACUAAUUGAUUACAUUCAGUUACAUAUUCCUUUGUUCAUACUCCACUCCCACUGCUUUGUCCUGCUUUGU